rnacentral:rRNA from 1 species
UGGGGGGGACAACAGUUGGAAACGACUGCUAAUACCGCAUAAUGUUUCUGGACCGCAUUGAUCUGGAAACCAAAGCUUUUAUGUGCUGAGAGAUGGCCUCGCGUCUGAUUAGCUAGUUGGUGGGGUUAAACGGGCCCACCAAAGGCGACGAUCAGUAGCCGGUCUGAGAGGAUGAACGGCCACAUUGGGACUGAGAUACGGGCCCAGACUCCUACAGGAGGCAGCAGUGGGGAAUAUUGGGGCAAUGGGCGCAAGCCUGACCCAGCAAUGCCGCGUGAAGGAAGACGGUUUUUCGGAUUUGUAAACUUCUUUUAAGAGGGACGAUAAUGACGGUACCUCUUGAAUAAGCCACGGCUAACUACGUG